rnacentral:tRNA from 1 species
AAGUCUUUAAGUUAACAAAACUAUUAAUCUUCAAAAUUAAAAUUAAAGUAAAUCUUUAAGUCUUA